rnacentral:rRNA from 1 species
AAGCGGUGGAUGAUGUGGUUAAUUCGAUGCAACGCGAAAACCUUACCACCUUUGACAUGUACGGAAGCCUUUAGAGAUAGAGGCGUGCUCGAAAGAGAGCCGUAACACAGGUGCUGCAUGGCUGUCGUCAGCUCGUGUCGUGAGAUGUUGGGUUAAGUCCCGCAACGAGCGCAACCCUUGUCAUUAGUUGCUACAUUCAGUUGGGCACUCUAAUGAGACUGCCGGUGACAAGCCGGAGGAAGGUGGGGAUGACGUCAAGUCCUCAUGGCCCUUAUAGGUGGGGCUACACACGUCAUACAAUGGCUGGUACAAAGGGUUGCCAACCCGCGAGGGGGAGCUAAUCCCAUAAAGCCAGUCGUAGUCCGGAUCGUAGUCUGCAACUCGACUACGUGAAGUCGGAAUCGCUAGUAAUCGUGGAUCAGAAUGUCACGGUGAAUACGUUCCCGGGUCUU